rnacentral:rRNA from 1 species
UACGUAGGGUCCGAGCGUUGUCCGGAAUUACUGGGCGUAAAGAGCUCGUAGGUGGUUUGUCGCGUUGUUCGUGAAAACUCACAGCUCAACUGUGGGCGUGCGGGCGAUACGGGGCAGACUGGAGUACUGCAGGGGAGACUGGAAUUCCUGGUGUAGCGGUGGAAUGCGCAGAUACCGAGGAGGAACGACCGGUGGCGAAGGCGGGUCUCUGGGCAGUAACUGGACGCUGAGGAGCGAAAGCGUGGGGAGCGAACAGG